AUAAAUAAGAAUACGUUAGCCCAGAGCAUUGCCAAAGCAUUCGAUAUCCCACGUAGCAACGACGUCCGGGAUCAGCAGAAGGAAUAGCAGUCAUCCACUCAGCCACAGCGCGCCAUCCUCGCCUUUUUCUCUCCCCCUAUCUUUAUCACAUAACGCUAACAAAAAAAAAACAGAAACAGCUCAAUACAAAGCAUUCAUACACCACCACCACAAGAACAAACCUCUUUCCUAUUCCAUCUCAUUUUCAACGGAGAGAGCUUGCGGCCACUCCUUUCCGUCUCUUAUCGUGUACGAACGCUUCUCCUUCCCCCUCUCCCCCCCCUUCCUUCUCUCUCGUACCGAAGAUGAGUAAGGCUUUCGGCGGAGGCAUGAAUAACGGGACGCUCGGUAAGGGUCCGGUGCCAACGGAUGCGGGCAUCCCCAUAAGGUCUAGUGGAGUAGACGCAUACGGUAACGGCGCCCACACCCAGUAUCCACAGGCAGAGCUCCACUACAGCGGUGUCGGAGGCCCGCCAGCAGAUGGCAUCCCGCUUUACCCCGAGGCGGCGUCAAAUCCAGCUCAGGCACCAAGACUCAGCCGCUUCCGCAUUCAAGGCUUCAAGGACGUGUGGGCCACCUUCGUGUUCGCCAUAUUUGUGAUCUUCUCGAUUGCCUGGAGCAUUGUGCAGCUCACCACGUACCACUUCGACACUGACCCGCACAGCCAGUCUCCGUUCAGUGGAGCAAACGGGCCUCGCCUGGGGUAUGUCGCCAUUGCGUGUCUCGCGUCUGCCGGUGCCUCCGUGAUCAGCUCGCUCGUGAUGCUCGCCCUUAUGCAGCGCAUUCCCGUCCAGAUGAUCUACGUUGCGAACAUCAUGACAAUUUUACUGUUUUUCGCCUCUGCUGUGAUGGCGUUCUUGCGGGUCCAUGUUGUCGUUGGCAUUCUCAUGAUCAUAUGUGGCGUCUUUCAGGCCAUCUGGCUCUUCCUCGUUCGCCACCGCAUCCCAUUCGCGGCCGCGCUUCUGCGAACAUCGGCGAGGCUUAUCAGCACGUACAAGCUCACGGUUGUGCUGAACCUCAUGUUGUGCACCGUUUCAUUCGGCUACAUCGCGCUCUGGGGCUAUGGUGUGGCGGCGCCGGUCGACCGCUUUUACAAGGACCAGGGCAAUGGCGGCUACAUCUUUGUGAUUGCCGUGCUCGUCUUCACGAUGCUGUGGGUGUCGCAGGUGACGCCGAACGUGAUGCACGUGACGACCAGCGGCCUGGUCGCGACGUGGUACUUUGCCGGCUCGGACAACAUGCCGCGCCACCCCACGCUGGCCUCGUUCAAGCGCGCCACAACGACGAGCUUUGGCUCCAUCUGCUUCGGCUCCCUCGUCGUCGCCAUCAUUCAAUUCAUUCGCUGGCUGGUCGAGAGUUCCGGCAGCGACUACGAGAACGGCUUCGUGCAUUGCCUGCUGGAGUGCAUUCUGCGAUGCAUUGAGAGAAUCGUCGAAUACUUCAACCGUUACGCGUUCGUGCACGUGGCCAUCUACGGCUGCAGCUACAUCGAGGGUGCGAAGCGGACCUUCGCACUGUGCAAGCAGUGCUUCUUUGCCGCCUACUUCAACGACUGCCUUGUGUCACCGACCCUGAACAUGUUUACGCUGGCUGUUUCGCUUGUGUUUGCGUUCAUCGCUGGUGUCCUCUCCAGGUCGUGGCCGAUCGGCGUGCUCGCGUUUGUCGUCGCGGUGAUAGUGCACUCGCUCUUUUUUGUGCCCGUCGACAGCGCUGUGACGACGGUGUUCGUGUGCUUCGCGGAGUGCCCCGAGGCCCUGCGUGAGUCUGACCUGCAGUUGUACGCCACCAUCCACGCCGCGGACGCGAACGGCACGCACAACAAUGCCCCGCCACCCCUGUGAGCGACCGCCGCGAAAGAUGGGCGCAUGAUAUGAAGAACAAACUCGCGAAGACAGUGCAACCGGAAAGAGCUGCGGCCGCUCCAUCAAGAGGAAUGCCAUAUGCCUAAGAUUUUUCUCGUGUCUAUUGUCAGUCGGCAUCAUAGCGUAUGCUCGUGUGAGGCAGCACUGCUGUGGUCCACACCAUUGAGCUCCGCGCUGCCUUUUCGCUCUCUCUCUGCGUCUUCAUCUCUUUUUUUUGUUUGUUCUGUUUUGUUUUCGCUUCUCUUGCCUGCAUAUGCGGCUGAUCUGUCGUUGUUGUCGUUUUUCGAUGUUUGCUUUGUUGUUGUCCUCACGCCCCCUCUUCCUCCCUUCCGUUCUCUCGUUGCUUUAGCCAGUGGCACCCAACACGUGCACACAUCUGCGAGCGUGCACGUGUGUGUGUGUGUGUGUACUUAUCUCGCGCUGUCCCUCCUGUGUUGAGGAUUGUUGUCGGCUUUCCAAUAUUACUCGUGCUUCCUUCGUUUUGCUUUUUAUUUGUGUCGCACACAUCUCAUGCAUCGAAAGCAUCCAUGACAGCCGCCUUUGUCGCCCCUCUCGCACCAGCUCGUCAUGUUGCAUGAGCUCUCUGGCGCUUCCGUGCAUCGUGUUACGUCAAGAACGUUCUCGAGCCGCCCCUUUCCUCUUCAGCCUCCUCCAGCGUGCUCCUCUUCAGCCGCUUCCAUCUCGCUCAUGGUCGCUUUCGAAUUCGUGCCUGUGUGUGUGAGUGCAGGUGCGUGUCGAUGAACUUAUUCCAUCUCCAGUUUGUGUGUGUGUGUGUGUGCACGUGUGUGCGUGUGCGUUUUUUUUUUGUUGCUGCAUAUAAGUAUUUUUGCCGGUCUUCGGAUUUGUUUGGAGUGCAUCUGUAGCUGAGCGAGGAGGUGGGGUGCGUCGAGUGGACGUGCUGUGUGGGUGGCGCCUUGUCUUCGAGGAACCGCCCGCUCUCAUGUAUCCCUCCCCCUUUCCCCUCCUCCACACACAUAAAAGGGAGUUCUUUGCACAUCCUGGCUCUGGCGAACACAUGUGGCCCUGUUGCUGGUGAGUGAUUAUAGUUGUAUUUGGCCACCUUGCUGCCGUGGAGGGAGAGCGACCUCCCUCAACUGUGUCGCUUGCUUUUCACCAGCGGGAUGG
rnacentral:misc_RNA from 1 species